rnacentral:misc_RNA from 1 species
GUAUAUAUAACUUUAUGGGGCAUCAAAGACCCAGAUCAACAUUCUAUUACAUUCGUAGGGGGUAUGUGAGUAGCAUAGAACCUAGAGAGACAAGGAAAAGCUGGCGCAGCAGUCCCCAAAACCUGUCCUGAAGACAAUUUUCUUUCUCUAGGUCUACAAAAAGGGUGCACAGGUGGAAAAAUAAAUAAAUAAAUGACAAGCGUGCACACUACCCUAGAAGGGCCAGCAACAGCCUAUCAAAUGUUUAUUCGAUAAUGAUCCUUCCGCAGGUUCACCUACGGAAA